GCCUGGGUGGCUCAGUCAGUUAAGCACUGAGUUUGGCUCAGGUCACGAUCUUGUGGUUCGUGGGUUCGAGUCCCAUGUCAGGCU
rnacentral:tRNA from 1 species